UACGAAGGGGGCUAGCGUUGCUCGGAAUUACUGGGCGUAAAGGGCGCGUAGGCGGACAGUUAAGUCAGAGGUGAAAGCCCUGGGCUCAACCCAGGAAGUGCACUCGAUACUGCCUCGCUAGAGUCCCGGAGAGGUUGGUGGAACUCUCGGUGUAGAGGUGAAAUUCGUAGAUAUCGAGAAGAACACCGGUGGCGAAGGCGGCCAACUGGACGGUGACUGACACUGAGACGCGAAAGCGUGGGGAGCAAACAGG
rnacentral:rRNA from 1 species